GCUGAGGUAGCCAAGCCCGGACUAAGGCGCAGGCCUUGAGAGCCUGUGGGGCUUGCGCCCCGCGAGGGUUCAAAUCCCUCCCUCAGCG
rnacentral:tRNA from 1 species